UACCGCAUAACGUCGCAAGACCAAAGAGGGGGACCUUCGGGCCUCUUGCCAUCGGAUGUGCCCAGAUGGGAUUAGCUAGUAGGUGAGGUAACGGCUCACCUAGGCGACGAUCCCUAGCUGGUCUGAGAGGAUGACCAGCCACACUGGAACUGAGACACGGUCCAGACUCCUACGGGAGGCAGCAUG
rnacentral:rRNA from 1 species